GACGAACGUUGGCGGCGUGCUUAAUACAUGCAAGUCCACUGAAGCAGUGGUAGCAAUAUCGCUGUGGAGGUGGCGCACGGGUGAGUAACACGUAGGUAAUCUGCCUUCAGGUCUGGCAUAACUCCGGGAAACCGGGGCUAAUAGCAGAUGAUGCAGCGGCUCGACAUCGAGACAGUUGUUAAAGCUAUGGCGCCUGAAGAUGAGCCUGCGUCUGAUUAGCUAGUUGGCGGGGUAACGGCCCACCAAGGCAACGAUCAGUAGCUGGUCUGAGAGGAUGAUCAGCCACACUGGAACUGAGACACGGUCCAGACUCCUACGGGAGGCAGCAGUAAGGAGUAUUGCUCAAUGGGAGAAAUCCUGAAGCAGCAACGCCGCGUGAGGGACGAAGGGCUUUUGCUUGUAAACCUCUGUAGUGAGAGAAAAAAAUCCCAAUCUUUGGGACAUGAUGGUAUCUCAAAAGUAAGCCCCGGCUAACUACGUG
rnacentral:rRNA from 1 species